rnacentral:rRNA from 1 species
CGUACACUCCUACGGGAGGCAGCAGUGGGGAAUAUUGGACAAUGGGCGCAAGCCUGAUCCAGCCAUGCCGCGUGAGUGAUGAAGGCCCUAGGGUUGUAAAGCUCUUUCACCGGUGAAGAUAAUGACGGUAACCGGAGAAGAAGCCCCGGCUAACUUCGUGCCAGCAGCCGCGGUAAUACGAAGGGGGCUAGCGUUGUUCGGAUUUACUGGGCGUAAAGCGCACGUAGGCGGACUAUUAAGUCAGGGGUGAAAUCCCGGGGCUCAACCCCGGAACUGCCUUUGAUACUGGUAGUCUUGAGUUCGAGAGAGGUGAGUGGAAUUCCGAGUGUAGAGGUGAAAUUCGUAGAUAUUCGGAGGAACACCAGUGGCGAAGGCGGCUCACUGGCUCGAUACUGACGCUGAGGUGCGAAAGCGUGGGGAGCAAACAGGAUUAGAUACCCGAGUAGUCCCAUG